GGCCCCGUAGCUCAGCCGGUAGAGCAGCGGACUUUUAAUCCGUUGGUCGGAGGUUCGAUUCCUCCCGGGGUCACCC
rnacentral:tRNA from 1 species